rnacentral:rRNA from 1 species
CCUACGGGAGGCUGCAGUGAGGAAUAUUGGUCAAUGGACGAGAGCCUGAACCAGCCAAGUCGCGUGAAGGAUGACUGCCCUAUGGGUUGUAAACUUCUUUUAUAUGGGAAUAAAAUGUUCCACGUGUGGGAUUUUGUAUGUACCAUAUGAAUAAGGAUCGGAUAACUCCGUGCCAGCAGCCGCGGUAAUACGGAGGAUCCGAGCGUUAUCCGGAUUUAUUGGGUUUAAAGGGAGCGUAGGUGGAUUGUUAAGUCAGUUGUGAAAGUUUGCGGCUCAACCGUAAAAUUGCAGUUGAAACUGGCAGUCUAGAGUACAGUAGAGGUGGGCGGAAGUCGUGGUGUAGCGGUGAAAUGCUUAGAUAUCACGAAGAACUCCGAUUGCGAAGGCAGCUCACUGGACUGCAACUGACACUGAGGCUCGAAAGUGUGGGUAUCAAACAGGAUUAGAUACCCUUGUAGUC